rnacentral:rRNA from 1 species
GGAUAACUUACCCUUAGGACUGGGAUAACUCUGGGAAACUGGGGAUAAUACUGGAUAUUAGGCUAUGCCUGGAAUGGUUUGCCUUUGAAAUGUUUUUUUUCGCCUAAGGAUAGGUCUGCGGCUGAUUAGGUCGUUGGUGGGGUAAUGGCCCACCAAGCCGAUGAUCGGUACGGGUUGUGAGAGCAAGGGCCCGGAGAUGGAACCUGAGACAAGGUUCCAGACCCUACGGGGUGCAGCAGGCGCGAAACCUCCGCAAUGUACGAAAGUGCGACGGGGGGAUCCCAAGUGUUAUGCUUUUUUGUAUGACUUUUCAUUAGUGUAAAAAGCUUUUAGAAUAAGAGCUGGGCAAGACCGGUGCCAGCCGCCGCGGUAACACCGGCAGCUCGAGUGGUAGCUGUUUUUAUUGGGCCUAAAGCGUUCGUAGCCGGUUUGAUAAGUCUUUGGUGAAAGCUUGUAGCUUAACUAUAAGAAUUGCUGGAGAUACUAUUAGACUUGAAGUCGGGAGAGGUUAGAGGUACUACCGGGGUAGGGGUGAAAUCCUAUAAUCCUGGGAGGACCACCUGUGGCGAAGGCGUCUAACUGGAACGAUCUUGACGGUGAGUAACGAAAGCCAGGGGCGCGA